rnacentral:misc_RNA from 2 species
CCCAACUAUCCCUAUUAAUCAUUACGUCGAUCCUAGAAACCAACAAAAUAGGGUCAAACGUCCUAUUUCAUUAUUCCAUGCUAAUGUAUUCAAGCGUGUGCCUGCUUUAAACACUCUAAUUUUUUCAAAGUAACGGUCCUGAUUCCCCAUGACACCAAAUUAAUGACAUCACAGUUCGUCAGAAGGUAGAAAUCAAUAAUACCAGUGCAUACCAGAGGCACGACCAAUAUAUUGAUCCCGAAAUUCAACUACGAGCUUUUUAACUGCAACAACUUUAAUAUACGCUAUUGGAGCUGGAAUUACCGCGGCUGCUGGCACCAGACUUGCCCUCCAA